GCGUGCAGGUGAGCCUAGUGGCCGGGGGUCGCGGGCAUGGCCGAGGCCAGAAAGCGGCGGGAGCUGCUUCCCCUGAUCUACCAUCAUCUGCUGCGUGCGGGCUAUGUGCGCGCAGCGCGGGAAGUGAAGGAGCAGAGUGGGCAGAAAAUUUUCCUGGCCCAGCCUGUUACCCUUCUGGACAUCUAUACACACUGGCAACAAACCUCAGAGAUUGGUCGGAAGCGGAAGGCAGAGGAUGAUGCAGCGCUGCUGGCCAAGAAGGCCCGUGUGUCGGACCCUAUUAGCAGCUCGGAAAGCUCGGAAGAGGAGGAGGAGGAGGCAGAAGCCGAAACCACCAAAGCCAGGAUGACCCCAAGACUCGUGUCUGCCAACUCCUCAGUCAUGGGGACAGAUUUGCCAUCAGGCACGAAAGAAAAAGCUCAGGCAAAGGCAAAGAAAGCCAGCGACCCAGUGAACUCCAUACCACACCCUGCCUCUGGGAAGGCAGUGGCCCGCCUUCCCUCUGGGACGUCACCCAAGAAGUCAGCAGGGCCCUUGGCAAAUACCACCUUAGUCUCAGAAACUGAAGAAGAGGGCAGCGCCCCAGCCCAUGGUGUCCUUGCCAAGCCUGGGAUAGCGUCAGCAGGCCAAGGUGACAGCUCCAGUGAGGACACCUCCAGUUCCAGUGAUGAGACAGACAUGGAGGUGAAAACCUCAGUGAAAAUCCCCCAGGUCAAAGCCUCACCAACCCCUGCCAAAGAAUCUCCAGGGAGAAAGGCAGCCCCAAUCCCUGGGAAGGCAGGGGCUGUGACACCCCAGGUCAGAGGAGGUGGCCCGACCCCAGCUGGCAAGGCCAAGAAGCCAGAAGAGGAGUCAGAGAGCAGCGAGGAGUCUGAGAGUGAGGAAGAGGCCCCUGUGGGGACCCCGAGCCAGGUGAAAGCCAUGGGGAAAACUUCCCAGAUCAAAGUUGCCUCAGCCCCUGCCAAGGGGACCCCCGGGAAAGGAGCCAUCCCAGCCCCCUCUAAAAAGACAGGGCCUGUGGCCACCCAGGCCAAGGCGGUGGGGCCAGAGGAUGACUCAGAGAGCAGCAGUGAGGAGGAGUCGGACAGUGAGGAGGAGACCCCAGCAGCCACGACCCCACUUCAGGCGAAGCCCUCAGGAAAAGUCCCCCAGGUCAGAAGUGCCCCUGCCCCUGCCAAGGAGACUCCGGGGAAAGGGGCCACCCCAGCACCUCCUGGGAAGGCAGGGCCUGCAGCUGCCCAGGCCCCAGUGGGGAAGCCAGAGGAAGAUUCGGAAAGCAGCAGUGAGGAGUCGUCGGACAGUGACGGGGAGACCCCAGCAGCCACAACCCCACUUCAGGUGAAGCCCUCAGGGAAAGCCCCCCAGGUCAGAGGCGCCCCUGCCCCUGCCAAGGAGACUCUGGGGAAAGGGGCCACCCCAGCACCCCCUGGGAAGGCAGGGCCUGCAGCUGCCCAGGCCCCAGUGGGGAAGCCAGAGGAAGAUUCAGAGAGCAGCAGUGAGGAGUUGUCGGACAGUGACGGGGAGACCCCAGCAGCCACAACCCCACUUCAGGCGAAGCCUUCAGGGAAAGCCCCCCAGGUUAGAGGUUCCUCUGCCCCUGCCAAGGAGACUCCUGGGAAAGGGGUCACCGCAGCACCCCCUGGGAAGGCAGGGCCUGCAGCUGCCCAGGCCCCAGUGGGGAAGCCAGAGGAAGAUUCAGAGAGCAGCAGCGAGGAGGAGUCGGACAGCGAGGGAGAGGCACCAGCAGCCAGGACCCUAACUGUGAGCCCGGCUCAGGCGAAGUCCUUGGGGAAAACUCUCCAGGUCAGACCUGCCUCCAGUCCCGCUAAGGGGCCUGUAGGAAGAGGGGCUGCCCCAGCUCCCCCUCAGAAAGCAUGGCCGACAGCCACCCAGGUCAAGACUGAAAGAUCCAAAGAGGACUCAGAGAGCAGUGAGGAGGAAUCUAACAGUGAGAAGGAGGCGCUGGUGGCCAGGACUCCAGCCCAGGCGAAACCAGCCAUGAAAACUCAGACCAAGGCCUCCCCAAAGAAAGGCACCUCCAUCACCCCCACAUCUGCCAAAGUCCCCCCAGUGCGAGUGGGCACGCCAGCCCCCUGGAAAGCAGGAAUGGUGACUUCUCCAGUCGACACACCAUCCCCAUCUGUAGCCAGGGGUGUCCAGAAGUCAGAGGAAGAUUCUUCAAGCAGCGAGGAAUCAGAGAGUGAGGAGGAGACAGCUCCCGCAGCACCCGUGGGACAGGCAAAGUCUGUGGGGAAAAGCCUCCAAGGGAAACCUGCCUCGGCCCCUGCCAAGGGGGCCUCAGGGCAAGGGACCACCCCAGCACUACCUGGGAAAGCGGUGCCUGUGGCUACCCAGGUCAAAGCCAAGACGAAGGAGGACUCAGAGAGCAGUGAGGAAGAAACAGACAGCGAGGAGGCACCAGCAGCCAAGACGUCAGCACAGGUGAAGGCCUCAGUGAAAACCUCCCAGACCAAAGCCAACCCAGCUUCCACCAGAGCAUCUUCAGCCAAAGGGGCAGUAUCAGCUCCUGGAAAAGUGGUCACUCCAGCAAUUCAAGCCAAACAGGGGUCCCCGGCCAAGGGAAAGCCACCAGCAAGAACCUCCCAGAGCAGUCCCACCUUGGUGAGGGGCCAGGUGUCUGCACCCGCCGUGGGGAAGGCAGUGGCCACAGCCACCCAGGUUGGGGCAGCCGGGAGAACAGAGGAGGAGGAGGAGAGCAGUGAGGAGGACUCAGACAGUGAGGAAGAUGCACCUGCUCAGGCAAAGACCUCAGGGAGACCCAGCCAGGUCAGAGCUGCCUCAGCUUCCAUCAAGGGGUCCCCAGGGAAAGUAGCUGCCCUGGCACCUCCUGGGAAGACAGGACCUGCAGCCGCCCAGGCAGGGAAGCCAGAGGAGGACUCAGAGAGUAGCAGCGAGGAGGAGUCAGACAGUGAGGAGGAGGCACCGACAGCCAUGGCCCCAGCCCAGAUGAAACCCACUGUGAAAACCCCCCAGACCAAGGCCUCCCCAAUGAAAGGCAUCCUGGGCACUCCUGUGUCUACCAAGACCCCGACAGCACAAGUGGAUACACCGGUCCCCUGGAAGGCGAGGCCAGCAACUUCCACCAAGGCAAAUGAGGCCAAGAAUCCAAAAGUGUCACAGUCAGAGAGUGACAAUGAGGCUCAGGCAGCAAAACAGGUCAUGACCCCUCGGAAGGAGGAUAACUCCAAAGCUGCCAGAAGCAAGACCCUGGCUCCAGCCCCCCAGGAGAAGAGUGCAGAAGGUUCCGGGAAGAGUGAGAAGGAGCUGCCAUCAGGCCAGGUGAUUAAACCCCCUCUGAUUUUUGUCGACCCUAAUCGUAGUCCAGCUGGCCCAGCUGCUACCCCCGCACAAGCCCAGGCUGCGAGCACCCCAAGGAAGGCCUGGGCCUCAGAGAGCACAGCCAGGAGCUCCUCCUCUGAGAGCGAGGAUGAGGACGUGAUCCCCGCCACCCAGUGCCCAACUCCUCCUGUCAUUAGAACCAACACGGUGACCGUACCCGCUGUCCACCCAAGGACGGCCCCCAGAGCCAGUGUUGCCAGUGCCAGCGAGGAGUCUGGUGGGGCAUCAGAAGUCAAGAAGGAGGAACCAGCCACCCAGGUAACAAAGAAGAACCCGGCUUCCCUCCCACUGACCCAGGCCGCACUGAAAGUCCUCGCCCAGAAAGCCAGUGAGGCCCAGCCUCCCACUGCCAGGGCCCAGUCUUCAAGUGAGGUUGACAGUGCUCCAGGAAAACUCUCUCUGCUGAAUCCCAAGAGCACUACUGUCCAGGCCAAAGUGACCAACAAGCUCAGAAAACCCAAACUUCCUGAGGCCCAGAAGGCCACAGCCACUCCCUCGGGACACCCCAAAGCCAAGGCCUCUGCGACUUCAGAUGACAGCGAGGACAGCAGUGACAGCUCCUUGGAGAGCAAGGAGGAUGCUAAGGAGGACAAACUGAGCAAGUUGGCACCCAGGCUAGUAGGUCCAGCCCCAUCCAAGAAGGAGACCCUGGUGGAGGAGACCACAGCAGAGUCCAGCGAGGAUGAGGUGGUAGAGCCUUCCCAGUCUCUCCUCUCAGGUUAUGUGACCCCCGGGUCGACCCCAGCUAAUUCCCAGGCUUCGAAGACCACUCCCAGGCCAUAUACCAACCCCUCAGUUUCCUCUACUCUGGCCACCAAAGAUGCCCCAGAUAGCAAGCCAGAGGUGGAGCGCCAAGAAGCAGCAACCACCACGUCCCCUAAAACAGGCAGGAAAGAGGCUGCCUCAGGAACCAAACCUCAGAAGUCCCGGAAGCCCAAGAAGGGGGCCGCGAACCCCCCAGCCUCAACACUGGCCUUGCAGAGCAACAUCACCCAGCGCCUCCUGAAUGAGCCCUGGCCCCUGAACGAGGCCCAAGUGCAAGCCUCGGUGGCAAAGGUCCUAGCAGAGCUGCUGGAGCAGGAAAGAAAGACAGCCACAGAUGCCAGCAAGAAGGCCCGAGGGGACCGCAAGCGGAAGCUGUCAGAAGACCAGCCAGCUGCCAAGGCCCCUAAGAACAAGAAGAAGAAGAAACUGGCAGCUGGGGAAGGCAGGGAGGGUGCUGCUUCCCCAGAAAAGGCCACCAGGACUCCCAAGGAGAAAUCAAAGAGUGACAAAGCGAGUGGCGAUGUCCAUGAGAAGAAGGGGAGGGGGUCUCCUAACUCCCAGGGGGCCAAGGACAAGCCAGAAGGGGAGCUGGGGAUGGAGAAGGUUGAGGGUGGAGACCAAGGCAACCCAAAGAGCAAGAAGGAGAAGAAGAGUUCCGACAAGAAAAAAAAAGACAAAGAAAAAAAGGCAAAGAAGAAGAAAGCAAAAAAAGUCUCCACCAAAGACGCUGACUUGGCAUCCCAAAAGAAAAAGAAGAAAAAGGUACAGUGAGUUCCUGAGGGUUCUCAGGCCAGACAAAGGACUGAAACCCAGUCCCCGGGUUGAAAGCUGUCACCUCCAUCCCACGCGUCAGGCUGGUCCCUGCCCCCCUGUUCUAUUCUUGGGGUCCAGUGGAGGAGCUUGGGAGCUGUGGCACACUAGGGGACAGCCAUGGAGGGUGUGUCCCCCUGAAGGAGGCACAAGGUCUGUGCAUGUGGUAAGCUACAGCAGUAACCCUGACUUGCCUGUGAGAGAGAAGAAGGUACUGGGGGUGGGGAGGGAGGAUUACCGAGGAUGUGUCUGUCCCCGCCGGCAGAGUAUCCCACCAAAGAACUCACCCCUGUCUACUUAACGAGUGACCAAGGCCAACCGCCUGGAUGGGGCUGACCUUACAAGCCCAUCCGGGGGCUUCAGCACCUACCCACAAGUGACGUGGUCCUCCCUGUGGCCUGCAGAGGCCUCUGCUGGGUUUAGAAAAACUGAACAUCUGUUGCUGAAAGCUCGGGGUUGCUUUCUUGAGGGCACACGGAGCACAGUCCCUGCCCUCAGGGAUUCCUGCAGACCUGAUAUCUGUUCUGGGGAGCCACAAAUCCUCAGGAUUGGGGGAUAGCAUUGGGCAGGGAGCAGCUUCAGGUCAAAAGCCUCUCCCGCUUCUCUCCUCACAGAAGAAGACAGCAGAGCAGACAGCCUGAAGAGCUCAGAGCAGCAGGAAUUUCUCAGCCAAAUGGUGACCAUCCAUCCCUGUGCCUCUGGCGUCUGCCCACCCUGGAUUGCAACUGAAUUUUUAAUUUCCCCUCCCUCCCCAGAAGAAAACAGUCAGCUGCAGUGUCCAGUGUGCUGGCCAAGCCAGGGAGUCCUGCAGAGCGGCUGGUUCGAAAAAUGCACCCAGUACCUGUAACCUCCUGCUCAUUCUCCACAGCACAGAAGACAGCUCUGCAGACACAGGACGCUUCAUAUAGAUGUGUACAGUAUAUAUAUAUUUUUUUAAGUGCCCUGCCUCUCCCCCUCAAGUCCAACAUUUCCGAAGGCCUCAGGACUUGCCACAACUUCGCUCUGCAGACCUACGGAGGCCUGGCCUGCACCUCACCCCACGCCACUUGGUCUCUGGCAGAUGCUGAGGCUUUGUCCUUCUUUUGUCACUUUCUCCCCCCCCCUUUUUUUUUUUUUUAAAGAACUCAGA